UUACACACCCCUUCCUUGUGGAUCAGAGUUAGAAGGUCCAUUGACUUGGGAGCCUGUCCAUGCAAGAUGUUCCUUAGCACUCUGUUCCUGGUGUCUCUAGCAACCUGUGUGAUUUGCGGAAAUCCCUCUUCACCACCUGUGGUAGACACUGCUCAUGGUAAAGUCCUGGGGAAACACGUGAACGUAGAAGGAUUUUCACAGCCUGUGGCCGUCUUCCUGGGAAUCCCCUUUGCCAAGCCCCCUCUUGGAUCCCUGAGGUUUGCUCCACCACAGCCUGCAGAGCCCUGGAGCUCAGUGAAGAAUGCCACCACCUACCCACCUAUGUGCUCCCAAGAUGCAGCUAGAGGACAGGCGGUCAAUGACCUCAUAACCAAUAGAAAGGAGAAAAUCCAUCUUGAAUUUUCUGAAGAUUGCCUGUACCUAAAUAUUUACACUCCUGCGGACUUUUCAAAGAACAGUAGGCUACCGGUGAUGGUGUGGAUCCAUGGAGGUGGACUGAAGCUGGGUGGGGCAUCAAGCUUUGAUGGACGGGCUCUCUCUGCAUACGAAAAUGUGGUGGUGGUGGCCAUUCAAUAUCGCCUGAGUAUCUGGGGAUUCUUCAGCACAGGGGAUGAACACAGUCGGGGAAACUGGGGUCAUUUGGACCAAGUGGCUGCUCUGCAUUGGGUCCAGGACAACAUUGCCAACUUUGGCGGGGACCCAGGCUCUGUGACCAUCUUUGGAGAGUCAGCAGGAGGUUACAGUGUCUCAAUUCUUAUAUUGUCCCCAUUGUCCAAGAACCUCUUCCACAGGGCCAUUUCUGAGAGUGGUGUGGCCUUCAUUCCUGGAAUGUUUACCAAAGAUGUGAGGCCAAUUACUGAGCAAAUUGCUGUUACUGCUGGCUGUAAGACCACCACGUCUGCCGUCAUUGUUCACUGCAUGCGCCAGAAGACGGAGGAGGAGCUAUUAGAGAUCAUGCAUAAAUUGAAUCUGUAUAAACUGAGUUUACAAGGAGAUACCAAAAAUAGCGACCAGUUCGUGACAAGUGUGCUUGAUGGAGUGGUGCUACCAAAGGACCCCAAAGAGAUCCUGGCUGAGAAGAACUUCAACACUGUGCCUUACAUUGUGGGAAUCAACAAGCAAGAAUGUGGCUGGCUUCUGCCAACAAUGACGGGAUUUCUACCAGCUGAUGUAAAAUUGGACAAGAAGAAAGCCAUUGCACUCCUGGAGCAAUUUGCUUCCAUGACUGGCAUACCAGAGGAUAUUAUUCCAGUUGCUGUUGAGAAGUACACAAAAGGUAGUGAUGACCCUGAUCAGAUCAGAGAGGGAGUUCUCGACGCAAUGGGGGAUGUGGCAUUUGGUGUUCCAUCGGUGAUUGUGUCCCGUGGCCACAGAGGAACCGAGGACACAGAGUCUCUCACACCAUCAUUGCAGAACUUGAGUGGCCUGAGGAUACAGUCUGACACCGUCGUUACAGUCCCCCAGGGUCUGAAGACCGUUAUGACACUGGAGCUCCCACCUACAUGUAUGAGUAUCAAUACUACCCAAGCUUCUCAUCACCCCAAAGACCCAAGAAUGUAGUAGGAGACCAUGCAGAUGAUGUCUACUCUGUCUUCGGUGCUCCAAUUUUAAGAGAGGGUGCCUCCGAAGAGGAGAUCAAUCUCAGCAAGAUGGUGAUGAAAUUCUGGGCCAACUUUGCUCGGAAUGGGAACCCUAAUGGCAAAGGGCUGCCUCAUUGGCCAAAGUAUGAUCAGAAAGAAGGAUAUCUUCAUAUUGGUGGCACCACCCAGCAAGCCCAGAGACUGAAGGAAGAGGAAGUGACUUUCUGGACACAGUCCCUUGCCAAGAAACAACCCCAGCCAUACCACAAUGAGCUGUGAAUGCAAAGCUCUGCCAGGCUUAUACCAGAGAAGCCAAGAUAUGGUUCUUCCACUAACAGUGUAUGUAAAUCCAAGAUGGAUCUUGGAGGAUCCUGAAGAACUUUGUCAUAGAUAUAGGCAGAGCCCAGGGAAGGGAAAUGUUGUAUUUAUGUCUUUAAUUUAGAGAAUAAAUGUUCUUUAUAUGGUCAAAUAA